rnacentral:tmRNA from 1 species
GGGGGCGAACGGGUUCGACAGAGGAUCAAGUGCGACAGCUGGACGUGGUAGUCAAUUCCGGACAAAUGGCCUUAGCGAAACACCGGAUGCUGUUGCAGCAGUCUUUUGGAAGCGAGUUCAAUUCUCGCCGCCUCCACCA